rnacentral:rRNA from 1 species
AUGCAGCGGCGGCGGGCGCAGACGUGGGCGGGGGUGGGGAAGACGGCGCAGGCGGCGGCGGCGCACGCCGCGCUCUUCUGCUUCACGCUCCUCCUCGCGCUCAGGGUCGACGGCCGCACCGACUCCUCCUGGUGGAUUAUAUUCAUCCCGCUAUGGCUAUUUCAUGGAGUGGCUGCCCGUGGAAGGUUUUCAAUGCCGGCCCCUUCAUUACCUCAUGGGCGUCAUUGGGCUCCUUGUCAUUCUGUUGUUGCAGCACCAUUGCUAAUCGCCUUCGAGCUGCUUCUUUGCAUAUAUCUUGAAAGUUUAAGAGUUAAGAAUCAUCCAGCUGUUGACAUGAAGAUCGUGUUCCUUCCUCUGCUGACUUUUGAAGUGAUUAUUCUUGUUGACAAUUUUAGAAUGUGUAAAGCUCUAAUGCCAGGGGAUGAAGAAAGCAUGAGCGACGAAGCUAUUUGGGAGACGCUUCCUCAUUUCUGGGUCGCAAUCUCUAUGGUGUUUCUUAUAGCUGCGACAACCUUCACGCUUCUCAAGUUAUCUGGUGAUGUUGGUGCCUUGGGAUGGUGGGAUUUAUUUAUAAAUUAUGGGAUCGCAGAGUGUUUUGCUUUUCUUGUUUGUACAAGAUGGUUUAAUCCCAUGAUUCAUAGGCCUCCUACUCAUGGGGAGGCUAGCUCAUCAUCAUCAGCUAUUAGAUAUCGUGAUUGGGAGAGUGGUCUUGUCCUCCCAUCACUAGAAGACCAUGAACAAGAGAGGAUUUGUGGUCUUCCAGACAUAGGAGGUCAUCUCAUGAAAAUACCGCUGGUGGUUUUCCAAGUUUUGCUUUGUAUGCGGUUGGAGGGUACACCACCUAGCGCUCGCUACAUUCCAAUAUUUGCUCUUUUCUCCCCACUAUUUAUUCUACAAGGAGCUGGUGUCCUUUUCUCGAUAGGAAGAUUGGUGGAGAAAGUUGUUUUGCUAUUGCGUAAUGGACCAGUUAGUCCGAAUUACCUUACAGUAUCAUCAAAAGUCCGUGACUGUUUCGCUUUUCUUCAUCACGGGUCAAGGCUUCUUGGUUGGUGGUCUAUUGAUGAAGGGAGCAAGGAAGAGCAAGCUCGGCUGUUUUAUACUGAAUCUAACGGGUACAAUACAUUCUCUGGUUACCCACCUGAGGUAGUAAAGAAAAUGCCCAAGAAGGAUUUAGCAGAAGAGGUUUGGAGACUCCAGGCAGCGUUGGGAGAGCAAUCUGAAAUCACCAAGUCUACCCAGCAGGAAUAUGAAAGGCUUCAAAAUGAGAAGGUACUUUGUAGGAUUUGCUACGAGGGAGAAAUAUGCAUGGUCAUACUUCCCUGCCGGCACAGAACGUUAUGCAAGUCAUGUGCUGAGAAGUGCAAAAGAUGUCCAAUCUGCCGUAACCCCAUCGAGGAGCGCAUGGCUGUAUAUGAUGUUUAA